rnacentral:misc_RNA from 1 species
ACACCUCAACUCUCACGGUUCGCCGUGAUGAGCUUGGACUUUGGAGGUUUUGCUGGUCUUUGAUCUGCUCCUCUUGAAUGAAUCCGCCUGCCAGUGUUUGGUGGCGUCGCAAGCGUGAUAACUAUCUACCCUUGAGAACGCCUGCCAGGUAACCUUCAGUGAUGGAGGUUCGCUGGGGCUCAUAGAAGUCUCUCCUCAGCGAGGACAGCUUUUUAAC